GUCAAAGCGGUGCCACGAUCUCCACUUUGCCCCAACCUCUCCCUUCUUCUCUCUUCGGAUGUCACAUCUAUUGCAGCCGCCAUCAUCCUCCCCUUCUCAUGGGCAAUCGCCGCCGUUGCCCUCCUACCACAGGUGUGGUUCCCCACGUCGUCGGCCGUCCCCAGAUACCGACGCCUCAUGUUGCUUCCGCAUGAUUCGAGGCAGCCAGAUUGGAGUGGUGGUUGUGCCUCGCCGGCAUGGUUCCCGCAGUGUGUCGGCGUGUUCGGCGAGGUAAAGCUCCGUCCCGGUGUCUGGCUCCGGCGAGCACGAGUGGUGGGCGGCACGCCGAGCAAGGUCCAGUGGUCGCCUCUGCUCCUCUAGCCGGCGUCCACCCCCUCUCAUGUCGCCCCUACCGUCAUCCAUGGUUUUCAGCGGCAUCAUGCCUCUCCAGGGAGCCUUCCUUGCCGCUCUUCAGCAAUUUCCCGUGCUGAGUCGCCACAUCCCGGCGUCUCCGUCAUGCCGGGAGGAUUUGGGGAUAGGGGCUGCGGAGGUAAGGCUCGCCAUUGGUUGGGAUGCCUGCUGCCCCAGCGUGAUGGCUAGCAACCUGGCUCGGUUGCUAGCUUUUUAUCCUCCCUCCAGAUAGCCUGCUCUCAAUUGAAGCACAGGGCCCUGCAAAAAUAGAUUACAAUAACCAUCCGUCUCUUCUUUUUAUGCAUCAUUUAAAGUCCAACUAUAAUGCAAAAUUGAUGCGGCGUUUGUUUUUUACAUUGUUGCUUCUGCAGGUUCUAAAAGUUGCCUUCAUGGAUGUGUGACUUUCCAGUUCUCAGAUGGAUGGGGCAGACCAACAUGAUCCACCAGGGCAUCCCUGCUGGUGCCGUGGGAGAGGCCAGAUUUCCAGGUUGUUGGUCCAGUAGAUCGCUCCGGAGGACAGGCCAGAAUUCAGAAAGAGUGUGGACAGGGGCCAGUGUGUUCCUGCGUUUUUGAGGUAGGUUUCCAUCUGAUGUGAUCAACCAAUCAUUGCAUCUUAUUCAGAGAGGUCUAUCAAUUAGUAUGGUACUGUUAUCUUUUCUGGUUCUUUUAAUUUUGGCCACUUCAUUGUUAACUCAAUGUUUCCUCUUUAGAUUUUCUUCUAUUUUUUUUACUGAUUCUCUAUUAGUGCAUUUCCAGAUAUGAAAACAUGAAAUCUGAGAUAUGAACCAUGCAAACUGAAACUAUGUUAUGCUUACUGCUGUUUUGCUCUAUAUUUUUGUAGGUCCAAUACUCCAAAUAUUAUUAUUCCUGAAUUAGGAUGAUCGACCCCUCUCUGUUAAGCUAUUGCAUAACCUGGCCUGAUAUAUUUUUACAUUUCAUGCUGGAAUUCGUACUUUUGCAGGCAGCAUAGGAAAUUAGAAAUAUUACACAACACUGAAGCAUUCAUAGAAUGAUCUAACUUAAUUUAAUUAGCUUACAGCAUGUCCGAGGUAAAAUUCAUUGUUCUCAUUACCAUCUUUGAUUUUAAUUACCAUGGAGUUUGUCCUCAAUUUGUCUGGACGUUUUUCUUAUUCAGUACAGGUGGGUAUCACUGAUAGUAAACACCAUUGGCGCUUGGUUUUGAUAACAGAAGCCAUACCUUAGGUUCUGCUUCCAGAAUAGUUGACAUGUUACCAGAUCUAGCAUGCUUACUAUUACUAAGUGUGUUCCUUAUUGUCUCCUAAUUGAUAAUAAUUUAGGGUACAGUGGCAUCCAACUUAACAAAUGUAUGCUUAAUUAGCAAAGUAACACCUUGCAAGUUCUAAUUUACCUUUGGCCUGGAUCAUGCACUAAAUAACCCUUUGUACUACAUUGUGCUCCCAUUUCUUCUUAAUAUUUCCAAAAUUUCUCAGAUACGCACCAUGGUCAUGUAUGUAGUUUAGUGAAUACAUAUAUGAGAUUGAUCAUAAACUACGGCAUGCCCACACGCGCAUCACGCCGUUGCACUGCUUCUAAUCGUUUCAAUCAGCUUACUCUGCAAUGGCUAUGGUCUGUAUGGAAUCAGCUCUUCCUUUGCUUUUCUAAUUUUUAUUUAUUUGUCAGGCUACCAAAGAUAUGCUUACGGUCUAUGCUUAUAAGGUGAAACAAAUCCCAGCUUAGGGAGUGAAGGUUCAGCUUUUCCAGUUACCUUCUUUAGGGGGCGUAUACUUGGAGGCGUGUAGUCUUUGGCAACAUGGCCCGCCGAGUCCCUGUGAUGGGAAAGAAGCUGGAUAAGCAUGGACAUGAUCUCAAACAAGGUGGUGGCAACCAUCAGAGGAAGGCCAGUGCUUUGCAAGGAUGCUCACAGGAACGCGCUGCUGCUGGAAAAAAUAAGGGGGGCGGGUAGUUGCGGAUUGCCUAGAUAUGACCUAUGCAAGCUUUGGAUAUGUUGGAGUGUUCCCCUCCUCUAGAUUAGCUUUUGAGUUGUUCUCUUUGAAAUGUUUACCGGAUGAUGUAUAAGAACUAUUUUUGUUGUAUGUCGAUGGAAUCAGGGGCAGCCCCUUUUCUCUAAAAAAUAAACUAUCAAAUAUGUUUACACACCGACC